CGGUAAUACGUAGGUGGCAAGCGUUAUCCGGGAUUAUUGGGCGUAAAGCGAGCGCAGGCGGUUUUUUAAGUCUGAUGUGAAAGCCCUCGGCUUAACCGAGGAAGCGCAUCGGAAACUGGGAAACUUGAGUGCAGAAGAGGACAGUGGAACUCCAUGUGUAGCGGUGAAAUGCGUAGAUAUAUGGAAGAACACCAGUGGCGAAGGCGGCUGUCUGGUCUGUAACUGACGCUGAGGCUCGAAAGCAUGGGUAGCGAACAGGAUUAGAUACCCUGGUAGUCCAUGCCGUAAACGAUGAAUGCUAGGUGUUGGAGGGUUUCCGCCCUUCAGUGCCGCAGCUAACGCAUUAAGCAUUCCGCCUGGGGAGUACGACCGCAAGGUUGAAACUCAAAGGAAUUGACGGGGGCCCGCACAAGCGGUGGAGCAUGUGGUUUAAUUCGAAGCAACGCGAAGAACCUUACCAGGUCUUGACAUCUUUUGAUCACCUGAGAGAUCAGGUUUCCCCUUCGGGGGCAAAAUGACAGGUGGUGCAUGGUUGUCGUCAGCUCGUGUCGUGAGAUGUUGGGUUAAGUCCCGCAACGAGCGCAACCCUUAUGACUAGUUGCCAGCAUUUAGUUGGGCACUCUAGUAAGACUGCCGGUGACAAACCGGAGGAAGGUGGGGAUGACGUCAAAUCAUCAUGCCCCUUAUGACCUGGGCUACACACGUGCUACAAUGGAUGGUACAACGAGUUGCGAGACCGCGAGGUCAAGCUAAUCUCUUAAAGCCAUUCUCAGUUCGGACUGUAGGCUGCAACUCGCCUACACGAAGUCGGAAUCGCUAGUAAUCGCGGAUCAGCACGCCGCGGUGAAUACGUUCCCGGGCCUUGUACACACCGCCCGUCACACCAUGAGAGUUUGUAACACCCGAAGCCGGUGGCGUAACC
rnacentral:rRNA from 2 species